rnacentral:rRNA from 1 species
CCUACGGGAGGCAGCAGUGGGGGAUAUUGCACAAUGGGGGGAACCCUGAUGCAGCGACGCCGCGUGGGUGAAGAAGCGCCUCGGCGCGUAAAGCCCUGUCAGCAGGGAAGAAAGUGACGGUACCUGACGAAGAAGCCCCGGCUAACUACGUGCCAGCAGCCGCGGUAAUACGUAGGGGGCAAGCGUUAUCCGGAUUUACUGGGUGUAAAGGGGGCGCAGACGGCGAUGCAAGCCAGGAGUGAAAGCCCGGGGCCCAACCCCGGGACUGCUCUUGGAACUGCGUGGCUGGAGUGCAGGAGGGGAAGGCGGAAGUCCUGGUGUAGCGGUGAAAUGCGUAGAUAUCAGGAGGAACACCGGUGGCGAAGGCGGCCUGCUGGACUGCAACUGACGUUGAGGUCCGAAAACGUGGGGAGCAAACAGGAUUAGAUACCCUAGUAGUC